GACAGAGGGUGCAAACGUUGCUCGGAAUCACUGGGCGUAAAGGGCGUGUAGGCGGGAAGGAUAGUCAGAUGUGAAAGCCCUGGGCUCAACCCAGGAACUGCAUUUGAAACUCCCUUUCUUGAGUGUCGGAGAGGAAAGCGGAAUUCCUGGUGUAGAGGUGAAAUUCGUAGAUAUCAGGAGGAACACCGGUGGCGAAGGCGGCUUUCUGGACGACAACUGACGCUGAGACGCGAAAGCGUGGGGAGCAAACGGG
rnacentral:rRNA from 1 species